UACGUAGGGGGCAAGCGUUGUCCGGAAUCAUUGGGCGUAAAGAGCGUGUAGGCGGUCCGGUCAGUCGGUUGUGAAAGUCAAGGGCUCAACCCUUGAAUGCCGGCCGAUACUGCCGGGCUAGAGUCCGGAAGAGGUGAGUGGAAUUCCAGGUGUAGCGGUGAAAUGCGUAGAUAUUGGGAGGAACACCGGUGGCGAAGGCGGCUACCUGGACCGGAACUGACGCUGAGGCGACGAAGCUGGGGUAGCAAACAGG
rnacentral:rRNA from 1 species